rnacentral:rRNA from 1 species
AGCGAACGCUGGCGGCAUGCCUAACACAUGCAAGUCUGACGGGCCUGGGGCUUGCUCCGGGUCAGUGGCGGACGGGUGAGGAACGCGUAGGAACGUAUCCAAGGGUGGGGAGUAACCGCGGGAAACGUGCGGCUAAUACCGCAUGGGGCCGUCAAGGGAGGACCGUGGGGGCCGAAAGGACUGAGGGAAACCGUUGGUCGCCGAUGGAGCGGCCUGCGUCCGAUUAGCUAGUUGGUGGGGUGGACGGCUUACCAAGGCUACGAUCGGUAGCUGGUCUGAGAGGAUGAUCAGCCACACUGGGACUGAGACACGGCCCAGACUCCUACGGGAGGCAGCAGUGGGGAGUAUUGGACAAUGGGCGAAAGCCUGAUCCAGCAAUGCCGCGUGGGUGAAGAAGGUCUUCGGAUUGUAAAGCCC